AGCCUCCUGCACAGGUGCUUUCAUCUCAGUAUCCAGAAAGUGAUCCUGAUUAUUGUGUGUGGGUGCCACCAACAGAUCAAAGUGGUGAUGGCAGAACUCAUCUGAAUGAUAAAUACGGCUACUGAAAUCUCUAGGUCUUUGAACUCACGAUAGAUCUAGUUUACCAACCUUUUAAAUAAGUUCACUCUGAAAUCCAGGUGAAGGGUAGAGCACUUCUCAACAUGAUUCUGCAUGGGGUCAUGUUAAUAGUUAAGCACUCUGGAUGCCAGACUCUCCAGAAACCUAAAACAAGGAAGGACUGUUGUUUUGGAUAGUAUGGUACAUGAAGGCACCUUCAAUGCCCUGAGAUAUUUUUUUUAGGUUCUGAAAACAUAAUCAGUACAACUCACUAAUUCAGAAAUAUCAAUACUUCUAAAACAAUUAAGUCACUCUGUGAUGCACUUUAGAGCACAAGCAGAGGGUAAUAUUGCAUAACAAAAAAGAUCCGUGGAAAUUCAGCAGAUUUACAGCAUGGAUUCAUAUAUUCUCCAUCAGCAUUUUUAUUACCAUCAGAAUGGUUGUAGCUGUAAAGUUGCUGAGUAAAAAAUAUUUGUUCUUUGACUUGUAUUUCAACAGACUUUUUUUCUGUUCUACAUAUUUUAUUUAGUUUGAUUUCUGUAUAUUGUAAGAUACUCAUUUUAAUGUCUGUAUAUUAUAAAUAUUGUUCAAAGUAGAAUGGGAUUUGAAUAUGUUUUACAAUAAAGUUGUAACACCUUAA